UGCCUAAUACAUGCAAGUCGAACGAGGCCCUCUUCCUUCGGGAGGAGGUGUCCUAGUGGCGAACGGGUGAGUAACACGUUGGUGACCUACCCCGAAGACGGGGGACAACCCCGGGAAACUGGGGCUAAUACCCCAUGUGAUCCUAAGGAUUAGAUGCCUAAGGAUGAAAUGGAGCAAUUCGCUUCGGGAGGGGCCUGCGGCCUAUCAGCUAGUUGGUGAGGUAAUGGCUCACCAAGGCGACGACGGGUAGGGGACCUGAGAGGGUGACCCCCCACACUGGAACUGAAACACGGACCAGACACCUACGGGUGGCAGCAGUAGGGAAUAUUGCACAAUAGGCGAAAGCCUGAUGCAGCAACGCCGCGUGCGCGAUGAAGGCCUUAGGGUUGUAAAGCGCUUUUCUGGGGGGACGAGAAAGGACGGUACCCCAGGAAUAAGUCUCGGCUAACUACGUG
rnacentral:rRNA from 1 species